GGGGGGGGGGCCAGGACCCCCAGCAGCUGCCAGGAGCCGGGCGGGGCGGGGCGGGGCGGGGCUUGGGAGGGGAAGCAGGGGGGACAGGCAGUGACUCGGGCCUUCCAAGGAGUCACCAUGACGGGUGAAUCCUGCCCGCUGCAAACAGCGUGUUCACUUACAUCAGCUCAUGGCCAUUCACCAAAUGAGCAGAGGUUUCGGUGCGAGUCCUCUGUGUCCACAACAUGUCUGGGAGAGCAGAGAGGGGCAGGGCCGGCCUCUAAGCAGGGCCGA